CAGCAGUGGGGAAUAUUGCACAAUGGGCGGAAGCCUGAUGCAGCGACGCCGCGUGAGGGAUGACGGCCUUCGGGUUGUAAACCUCUUUCAGUAGGGAAGAAGCGUAAGUGACGGUACCUGCAGAAGAAGCGCCGGCUAACUACGUGCCAGCAGCCGCGGUAAUACGUAGGGCGCAAGCGUUAUCCGGAAUUAUUGGGCGUAAAGAGCUCGUAGGCGGUUUGUCGCGUCUGCCGUGAAAGUCCGGGGCUCAACUCCGGAUCUGCGGUGGGUACGGGCAGACUAGAGUGAUGUAGGGGAGACUGGAAUUCCUGGUGUAGCGGUGAAAUGCGCAGAUAUCAGGAGGAACACCGAUGGCGAAGGCAGGUCUCUGGGCAUUAACUGACGCUGAGGAGCGAAAGCAUGGGGAGCGAACAGGAUUAGAUACCCUGGUAGUCCAUGCCGUAAACGUUGGGCACUAGGUGUGGGGGACAUUCCACGUUUUCCGCGCCGUAGCUAACGCAUUAAGUGCCCCGCCUGGGGAGUACGGCCGCAAGGCUAAAACUCAAAGGAAUUGACGGGGGCCCGCACAAGCGGCGGAGCAUGCGGAUUAAUUCGAUGCAACGCGAAGAACCUUACCAAGGCUUGACAUGAACCGGAAAGGCCUGGAAACAGGUCCCCCACUUGUGGUCGGUUUACAGGUGGUGCAUGGUUGUCGUCAGCUCGUGUCGUGAGAUGUUGGGUUAAGUCCCGCAACGAGCGCAACCCUCGUUCUAUGUUGCCAGCACGUGAUGGUGGGGACUCAUAGGAGACUGCCGGGGUCAACUCGGAGGAAGGUGGGGACGACGUCAAAUCAUCAUGCCCCUUAUGUCUUGGGCUUCACGCAUGCUACAAUGGCCGGUACAAAGGGUUGCGAUACUGUGAGGUGGAGCUAAUCCCAAAAAGCCGGUCUCAGUUCG
rnacentral:rRNA from 1 species